rnacentral:rRNA from 1 species
ACGAACGCUGGCGGCGUGCUUAACACCUGCAAGUCGCACGGAAAGGCCCUGCUUGCAGGGUACUCGAGUGGCGAACGGGUGAGUAACACGUGGGUGAUCUGCCCUGCACUUCGGGAUAAGCCUGGGAAACUGGGUCUAAUACCGGAUAGGAGCCAUUUUUAGUGUGAUGGUUGGAAAGUUUUUUCGGUGUAGGAUGAGCUCGCGGCCUAUCAGCUUGUUGGUGGGGUAAUGGCCUACCAAGGCGGCGACGGGUAGCCGGCCUGAGAGGGUGGACGGCCACAUUGGGACUGAGAUACGGCCCAGACUCCUACGGGAGGCAGCAGUGGGGAAUAUUGCACAAUGGGCGCAAGCCUGAUGCAGCGACGCCGCGUGGGGGAUGACGGCCUUCGGGUUGUAAACUCCUUUCGCUAGGGACGAAGCUUUUUGUGACGGUACCUAGAGAAGAAGCACCGGCUAACUACGUG